GCGGGGGUAGCCGAGUAGGCCAAAGGCGCGGGACUUAAGAUCCCGUCCUUAGUGGUUCAUGGGUUCGAAUCCCAUCCCCCGCACCA
rnacentral:tRNA from 1 species